GACGUAGGGUGCGAGCGUUGUCCGGAUUUACUGGGCGUAAAGAGCUCGUAGGCGGCUAGUAGCGUCGAACGUGAAAACUUGGGGCUCAACCCCAAGCCUGCGGUCGAUACGGGCAGGCUAGAGUGCGGUAGGGGGGACUGGAAUUCCUGGUGUAGCGGUGAAAUGCGCAGAGAUCAGGAGGAACACCGAUGGCGAAGGCGGCUCCCUGGGUCGAUACUGACGCUGAUGAGCGAAAGCGUGGGGAGCAAACAGG
rnacentral:rRNA from 1 species